UUUUUCUUUUUUUCUUUUUUUCCUUUCUUCUUCCCCGAAACACCAAGCACGCAACAGUUAUUUUUUUUUUUUCUUUUCUCCCCACCGGCCGUCCCUCUCUCUCUUCCGUGUUUUCAAAUUCCGGCCACCCAUAGCCCUCACGCGCCAGCCACCAAGGAAGCCCGCCACCUCACGAGCUUGGCCGCCAAGUUUCACGGCCAGCCGCCGCCGGACGCGCGCCGAUCGGGCCGGAGAAGCCGCCGGCCGGCCAAGUUUCUCUCUCCUCUUUUCUUGUGUUUUCCGGCCAGCCCACUCCCAAUUGAGCCUCCUAUCCCCCUAUUUUGGGUCCUCUGAAUCCAAAAAUGGCCUCCAAUCCCAGAAAUUCGAAGCGGUUUGCGAGAUAUGGGGAAGUGAACACCGGUCGAAACUUUCCGACCAAAUUCCGGCUACCUCCGGCGGAAUUGGGGUCGACGGAGACCGGAUUGGUGAUCCUCGUCCCACAAGCUUCGAUUCGGAGCACCGGUGAGUCGUAGAAUUGAUCCCGUAGUGGAUCAUGGGUUAAUUGCGUGCUCAAGGUACCAGAUUGUCGGUGUUCACUCGGAGCGGACUUGAUCUUCCUCGCUGUUUUAGUUCGGCAGUACCCUGUUAUUCUUUUAUUGCAGUUGUAAUAUUUCUUUCACUCUUGUUGUAUUUAUUUUGCACUGGAUUACUGUAUUUAUUUUUUUAAGUACUGCAAUUUGUGGAACCAAUUUGUAGUUUGUGGGAGGAAUAAGGGGAUAUUUUUGAAGUGUGUUUUCAGUGCAGGUAAAUUUGUGAUAAGUAAAUCCCUUAGGGGAGGUGCUGCCGGAUUUUCCGUUGGAAGGUUCGGUGGUAUUUCCCUGGGAUCAGGGCUGUCUAGGGUUCCGGAGGAGGAAUUCUGGACGGGUCCUGACAUUUAGAGUUGCCAACAAGGCUAGAUUAAAUAAGCUGUACAUCCCGGUAAAUAUUGUAGACAUUUUUCUUGCUAUAAUCGGAUUUUUUUAAAAAAAAAAUUAUUUUUCAUAUGAAAAUGGAUAUGUAUUGAAUGAAAUUGUUCCAAACUUCUAGUAUGUGAUUAAUUUAUUAUUUUUAUUAUUAUUAUUAGUAGGAAUAGGCUUUUCUGAUGUUAAUGGUUUUUGUUUUUUUGUUUGUUUUUUUAACUUUUUUUAUGCUAUAGAUGUUAACGGAAUUGCUAUGAACGCAUAACGUUGAGACAUCUUGCAUGCGUUUUAGCUGGUAAAAUUUGUUUAAGCACACUGGACGAUUUCUCAUGAAGAAAAUAUUUAUACAUAUUUAAGUUUAUAUAUAUAAAAAUGUUUAAAUUUAUAUGCAUAUUUAAGUUUAUAUAUAUAUAUAUAUAUAUAUAUCUAUGUUUAUGUUUCUCUGUUAUUGCUUAUCCAAAUAAUUAACCUCUAAUUAUAUCUGUAUUUUAAGAUAAAUUAAUUUAGCAAGCAUUGUAUAUGAUCCAUUAUAAUAGGUGAUCAAUGAAAUUCAAAAUUUAUGAAUUUAUGUUAUUAAUAUUGAACGAUUAUCCAAAAUCACCAAUGCUAAUAAAUAGUUGUUUUGUUGUAUAUAUAUAUAUAUAUAUAUAUUUUUUUUUUCCCGCUGCCGAUUAAGUGAUGAUUGUGUUUGAAGGAAGGAAAUUAAUAAACUUGUUGCUGAAGCAGGAAAAACAAAAUUGGUUUAAUGAGAUUGUGUUGCUUAUAUUUAUAUAUGAACCAUUUAGAAUUGAUGAAGUGAAGCCCUUGGCGUUCAUUGUUGCCUGGUGAGUUCUUUAAUUUCAUUUAUAUUGAUAAUUUGAUACAGAAUUUUGAGAAUCUGAUGAGAAGGAGGAUCAUAUUCUAAUAGAAAACAUGCCUUGAAUAACAUAAUUACAUAAUCACAAUAUUGCAGCACAAUAAAGUAUGAAUGAAUAAUUAGUGAUUUUUUUAUUUUUUAUUUUUUUAAGAUGAGAAGUUGAUCAUAAAUAAAUACCCAGCUGAAAUGCAUUACUACCAAGAUUAAUUAUAAUCUUAACAGAUAAUAUUAUGUAGCAUAUAGGAGCAUAGAAUUUCUUGUUAAUUAUAGAAGUAUAGAUCAUAUAGUUAACUAUACAAUCAUCAAAGAAUAAAAACAAUCAAUCUCUUUUUCUAAGUCUUUCGCAACUUGCCGCAGUUUUAGAAAAUUCCAAUCCUUGAACAUCUACUUCAACCCUUUUAUUUUAUUUUAUUUUUUAACAAUGAAACUAAUUUCAAUUUCCAAUUAAAUUUCAAAUAUAUAUUUUUUUGUUUUUCUAAACAAAUUUCUAUAAACGUUGAUUGAAUAUGUGAAUUUUUUUUGGGGAUGUGCAAACCAUGCACAUUGAGGAAGUGCUGAUCAUUACGGCUCCAGAAAACAGUUUGGAAAGGUGUACUUGAGAAAGGAAAAAAAAUUUUUUUUUCAAGAUUUGGCCCAAACCAAGGAACAAAUGCCUUUGAACUUGAAAUCCAAAGGGAGCCGAAUAAAUUCUCAAGAAAAAAUUAGAAUUAAAAUUCGGAUAUAAUCUAGAUACAUAUCAUUUUGAUAGAGAUUUUGAUAGACAAUUAGAAUGGAUUGCUUGUUAAGAUGUAAUUAGUUUCAUAUAGAUAUAGUAUGAAUUUUCCUUAUCCAUCGUCUGUAAUAUAUUUACUUGUGGAUGGAUAUUUUCUUAAUUUGUUCAUAUGGCUAGUUUUCAAUUUUUUGUUUUGACAUGUAAUUCUUUGUUACGUAUAGAAAAUAUAUAUUAGUUUUUCAUAUAUUUGGAGUUUUGGCAGGAAUCACCAAUACUAUGUUGAGAUUGAGAGGGUAGAUCUUUCGUUGAGAAUUGGGAUCCACUGUUCACAUAUGGUUCCAGCUAGCUGUUUUCAUUAUCCUAUUUUCCCUUUUUUUUUCAUUUAAAAUUAAAAAUAAUCGAAAUAUAUUAGGCCUUACUAAGUCUAAAAAUUAGCGUUGAUAUAUGGCUACACGGUUGGCAUAUUUGGUUGCUAUGAUCAUGGGCCUGAUUGUGGGCCUUAUUAGGCCUCAUUUACAGAUUUCGAGAUUCCCAACUGAUUGUUGUGGACUGUGAUUUGUAGGUGAGAUUUUGGUACGCAGAAAUAAUCUUGGGGAACUUGGCCUAAUGCCUUUUUUUUAAAGCCUCUAAUGAAAUAUACCUCUCAUUUCUUAGUUUUUUUUUAAUCUGUCCUCUGCUUCCCAUUUUAUCUCCAAUGAAAGUAAAAAAUUACUCUACUUUUCUUUCUUCAUUCCUUCAGUCCGAAAAACCCAGAGUCUUUAGUUUCUGCACUCUAUUUUUUUAUUUUUCUUCAUCCCCCAGAAAACCCACACACAAUCUCAUUUAGAAUAAAAAAAAAAAAAUCCAUGCUCCAUCUCCCUGCAUCUCUUACUUCUUCUCUUGCAAACAUAUGAAAGACUAAGGAAAAAUUGCGUUUAAGGUGAGCGGUAGUUGUGCAGAGGAGCUAUACUUGGAAAGUUUGCAGCAUCAAAUAGAAAGUGAUCUUAUGCCAAGUGCCUGAUGUGACCAAAGUGAUUCUUAUGGUAUCCUUUUAGUUAUAUGUUCAAAGAUGUUAUACCUGCUAUAUGGACCAUGAGGUAUACUAUCUAUGUUGUUUAGUUUGCCCUAAUUUCUUUCUGUUUAGUUUUCAGCCAAGGUUGGAAUUUCUUAAGCUUGGCUGGUGGAACAUUAUUAAUUUUCAAGUUGAUUACAAAUAUGCUGUUGGGGAUAGGAUAGGUGAACUGUCUUAUACUUACUCCUAUUUUAUGAAUUUGAGGUUGGUUGCCGAGAUGUGGUAUUAGUUUGCUUGUGGUUUUGUAUUAUAGGCUAAUGGCACUCAAGACUUCCAUGAUAAACUGAUAUUUACAGAUUGAGAAACCCAUACUAUUGGUUACAAUUCAAAAAAUGUGCUUGAAAAUGCCUUAGGUCAAGUGCAUAUGGUUAUCCUUGUGCAUUUGGUUAUGAGGUUGAUGUAAUGUCCCUCCUUAACAUAUUGAAGUUGUGGGUUUAUUUAUUUAUUUAUUUUUGUCUAUAAGUAAUAAUCGCUGCCCCCACACCCUUUCUUUGAAUUUCAUGUAACAAUUGGUGUAUUACUAGAGUGGAUAUCACAAUGGUCUCAUAGCAAGAGAAGAAGCUGUAGCGCAAGAGGGAUUUAAUAUUGGCUUUAAGGAAUCAGUCCUUGUUGGGUACAAAUGGGGUCUAGUUAGAGGUGAUACCAGGUAAAAGAAAACAAAAGAGGAAAAUAAUUUGAAUGCUCUAUUGCUUAUAGAGUUUUUAAUGAAAUUGCUAUAAGCAUAUGAUUAAAAAGGAAUUUAAAUGCUCUGUUGCUCAUAGAGUUUUUAAUGAAGUUGCUGUAAACAUAUGAUUAACUUCUUUUCUCUGCUACUUUUGUUUUCCUAUUUUGUCCAAUCUACAUCCCCAUGAACUACCUUCACUUUAGUUCCUGAGGACUUGAAAGAGAGCAUUUAAAUUCUCAAGAUGGUAACCAAACUCUCAAAGACAUGAAUUGUAUGGUUGCUUUUCAUAAGGGUUUGACAACAUGGGCUAAGUCGGUGGAUUCUACUAUGAAUCAUAGUAAAACCAAAGUCAUCUUCCAAGGAAUUUCUCUUACCCACUACCAUUAAGUUUACUUCUUUCCCAUCACCAAUUUUUUUUUUUUUGAAAACCAAAAAUUAAUUUCGUGAAUUUCUCUGAUGCUUUUUUUUUUCUUUCUUUUUUUUUUUCCCUUUUCAUAUUUAGUGGCAAGGGAUUGGAAUGAGCUAGGGGUGACAAACUGUGGAAAUGAGACAAAACUCCUAAGUGGAUCAGGCUAUCGAGGCGGAUUGCCCGAGGAAUUAUAUGUGGUGAAAGAUGUAUUAACUUGAAUGAGAAAACAUGUUCAUCUGCUGGACAUAACAACUCUAUCACAACUCAGAAAAGAUGCAUAUCCUGGCUUUUAUAAUGGGUUUAGGCGCAUGGAUUGUAACCAUUGGUGUAUUGUUGGACUUCUAGAUACUUGGAAUCAAAUUUUUAUGCAUUUCUCAUAA